AGGCUUUGUGAUACGCUUUCUAAGAGUCGAGUUGUUUGGGAAUGCAGCUCAAAAUGGGUGGUAAAUGCCAUCUAAGGCUAAAUAUUGGGGAGAGACCGAUAGCGAACAAGUACAGUGAUGGAAAGAUGAAAAGAACUUUGAAAAGAGAGUUAAACAGUACGUGAAAUUGCCAAAAGGGAAGGGUAGGAGGUCAGAGAUGCGGCCUGGGAUUCAGCCUUGCUUUUGCUUGGUGUUUUUCCCAGAUUGCAGGCCAACGUCGGUUUUGGGCACUGGAGAAGGGUAGGAGGAA
rnacentral:rRNA from 1 species